rnacentral:rRNA from 1 species
UACGUAGGGGGGCAAGCGUUGUCCGGAAUCAUUGGGCGUAAAGCGCGUGUAGGCGGUUCAGUAAGUCUGCUGUGAAAGUCCAGGGCUCAACCCUGGGAUGCCGGUGGAUACUGCUGGACUAGAGUGCGGAAGAGGCGAGUGGAAUUCCCGGUGUAGCGGUGAAAUGCGCAGAUAUCGGGAGGAACACCAAUUGCGAAGGCAGCUCGCUGGGACGUUACUGACGCUGAGACGCGAAAGCGUGGGGGAGCAAACAGG